rnacentral:lncRNA from 1 species
UAUUAGUUAAAAGCUGGGAUCUAUCCAUAUCUAGUAUAAUUUGUGUAUCGGUAUUUAUUUUACCACUGUUGUAACCUAUAUUUGUGUAUCGUUUUUUUAAUGGCCUGGGCUUGAUGUAAAAAUAUUGUGUCAUCUGUACAGUUACUUUUAAGGCGGAUGAGUUGGCUUUUCUGGAAUAUUAGAGAGCCAAGGAGGAUGGUGGGCACUAGACAGAUCUAUAGCUGUAUUACAGUCCGUAGGUUUAAAAAAAUGUUUUUGUUUUCAGUUGAUUUUGGUCUACAUAGAUUGUAAGAUCAAGGAAAUAUAUGGACAAAGAUCUGGCAUUAAAGGUAAAUUUAAGAUCAUAAUCAUUGCGAUUAGUACCUUCGAAAAAAUAUUUAAACUUUCAGUGGUUCCUUCCCAUAUUAGUAGUACGUUAUCUAUGUAGCACCGCCAUAGGACCAAGUUGCCCCCCGAAUGUGCUCCCAAUUUAACAUGACGUUGUUUCCAAUGGAAAACAUACGUAAGCAAAACUGGGGGCAAAUUUGGUACCCAUGGCGACGCCACAUUUUUGCAAAAAAUACUUUCCAUCAAACCAGAAAAAAUUACUAGUGAGAACAAAUGACAUACAUUCCACAAGAAAAUCAGUUUGAACAGAUUGAAGACAUUGAUGAAAAUUGAGUGUAUCCUUUAUUGUCAAAGUACCUUUUUGAUGUGGAAUAUUAGAAUAUAAGGCUGUUAUGUCUGCAGUUGCUAAAAUGUAUGCUGAUUUCCAUUGGACUGGUAUUACAUCUUGUAAGAUGUGUCUAGUAUCUCUGAUAUAGGUAUCACUUAAGGAAACAUAAGGCUAAAGAAAAAAAUCUACAUUCUCAGAUGGAUUACAAGAUAAGGAAUUAAUGCCACGAACGAUAGGACGACCAGGAGGUUUUGAAAGGUUUUUAUGAAUCUUUGGUAAGAAGUAAAAAGUUGCUGUUUUACAGUUAGGAUUGAAAAUGAAAUCGAAUUGUCUGGGUCUGCUUGAACCAAUUUACUAAAAAUGUCUAAAUAUUUGCUUUUAGCAGACCAAGGAAAAAAAUGGGAAUUUGGUUUAAAUGGUGUUUGUAUAAUGUUUGAAUUCUGUAUAGAUGUUGGGUUACUUACUAAAAUUUCUUGGGAUGAUAUGGCUUCUUGAGAAUUGUUAAAAGCCUUUCUGCUCUGAAAAAAUCUUUUAAUGGUUAAUUUUUUUAGAAAUUUUUGGUUAUCCAAAUAUAAAUUGAAGGCAUUGGAGUUGGAUGUGGGGGCAAAUUUAAGUCCUCUUUUAAGGAGUGAUAGUUUGUCAGGGGUAAGAUUAACCUGUGAUAAAUUGAAAAUCCCUUCCGUUUUGUUUAAUUUUGUCUGUAUGGAAGGUGUGCUGACAUUGUUAGAUCUUCUACUUCUGAAUGUGGUCUUUUCUUUAUCGGGGAUCGUAAUGUUUGAAAUCUGUUUUGAGUUUGAAGCGUGUAAGUUUGUUCUGGUCUUUGGUCUAGCCCUCUGUCUAAAAAAAUAUCUUGAUUAUCACAAUUAGAUUGAAUAUCAUUAGAAGAUGAGGGGGGACUUUUUUCUUAGAUGUAGAGUUAGAAUACAAAUAAGAAUUAGAAUUGGAAUGACGUUCAUAAUUCGAAGUAGAACUAUAAUUAGAAUUAGAAGCAACUUGAAAUUUACGAUUAGAAGUUAAAUUGGAAUUUGAAGAAUUAUGUCUGGUCCUGUAAUCAAAACGAGGGCCAGAUGAAUCUGGG